rnacentral:rRNA from 1 species
UACGAAGGGGGCUAGCGUUGUUCGGAAUUACUGGGCGUGAAGCGCGCGCAGGCGGUCUCUCAAGUCAGUGGUGAAAUCCCGGAGCUCAACUCCGGAACUGCCAUUGAAACUGUUAGACUUGAGUACGAGAGAGGUGAGUGGAAUUCCCAGUGUAGAGGUGAAAGUCGUAGAUAUUGGGAAGAACACCAGUGGCGAAGGCGGCUCACGGGCUCGUUUCUGACGCGCAGGCGCGAUAGCGUGGGGAUCAAACAGG